rnacentral:rRNA from 1 species
AGUGACUCUGUUCAACGGCCGCGGUAUCCUAACCGUGCGAAGGUAGCGUAAUCACUUGUUCUUUAAAUAAGGACUAGUAUGAAUGGCACCACGAAGGUUAUACUGUCUCCUUUUUUUGAUCAGUGAAACUAAUCUUCCCGUGAAGAAGCGGGAAUAAACAUAUAAGACGAGAAGACCCUAUGGAGCUUUAAACAACAUAGCACUUACCACAGAUACAAAAAUUUCUGAAUCACAAAACCCACCAGGUAAGAUGUAUAUAAGUUUUUGGUUGGGGUGACCACGGAGCAUAAUAUAACCUCCAUGUUGAAAGAAUCCUAUUCUUAACAAAGAACUACUUUUCUAAGCAUCAACAUUUUGACAUACAUUGACCCAAUUACUUUGAGCAACGAACCAAGUUACCCUAGGGAUAACAGCGCAAUCCACUUUAAGAGCCCCUAUCGCCAAGUGGGUUUACGACCUCGAUGUUGGAUCAGGGUUUCCAAGUGGUGCAGCCGCUACUAAAGGUUCGUUUGUUCAACGAUUAAAACCCUACGU